CGUUCUCUGCUGUAAACGACAGCGUGCAAAACAUUCGCCUUGUCCCUUAAUUACGACCACGGGGGCGCGACGAAGCCGGGAGUGCAAGUCCGCCUAGUAGCGGGAAGCCCGAUGGCCUCACAACGUCCCCACUUGAACCCCGGGUUCAAGGUCGUUUCGCCCGCAUCGUUCACGGCGGAGAAUGC
rnacentral:other from 1 species